GUGCUUGCUCCGGCAGCACAUACGAUAAAUUGGAAUCGAUACAGAGAAGAUUAGCAUGGCCCCUGCGAAAAGGAUGACACGCAAAUUCGUGAAAGCGUUUCCACAUUUUG